rnacentral:rRNA from 1 species
AAGUUUGAUCUUGGCUCAGAUUGAACGCUGGCGGCAUGCCUUACACAUGCAAGUCGAACGGCAGCACGGGAGCUUGCUCCUGGUGGCGAGUGGCGAACGGGUGAGUAAUGCAUCGGAACGUAUCCUGGAGUGGGGGAUAACGUAGCGAAAGUUACGCUAAUACCGCAUAGUCUGUGAGCAGGAAAGCGGGGGACCUUCGGGCCUCGCGCUCUUGGAGCGGCCGAUGUCGGAUUAGCUAGUUGGUGAGGUAAAGGCUCACCAAGGCGACGAUCCGUAGCAGGUCUGAGAGGAUGAUCUGCCACACUGGAACUGAA